GAAAUAUGGUCAACAACAAAGUUGAUCCUCUCAUCAAGAUCUACAACUUUUAUUUUGGUUACUUCUUCAUCCGACAAAGUAAUAGUUAUAUUAUUCAUAAAAAUCACAUUUCUCUCAUCUGGUUUAUAAAUAUCAACACAGAUAUGUCAAUUUUGUAAACAUUGGUACUAUCACUUUGUCGGAUGAAGAAGUGACCAAAAUAAAAGUUGUAGAUCUUGAUGAGAGGAUCAAUUUUGUUGUUGACCAUAUUUC
rnacentral:pre_miRNA from 1 species